rnacentral:rRNA from 1 species
UGAAUACGAGAUGCUACGGCGUCGAAGCAGUCUAUGUCAUACUUCCAAGAAAAGCUCGCACUGUCAUAAACAAAUAAUGCCUGUACCAUAACCGACACAGGUGGGUAGGUAGAGUAUACUAAGGGGCGCGAGAUAACUCUCUCUAAGGAACUCGGCAAAAUGACUCCGUAACUUCGGGAGAAGGAGUGCCUUAUUUAUAAGGUUGCAAUAACAAGAUCCAAGCAACUGUUUAUCAAAAACACAGGUCUCCGCUAAGUCGUAAGACGAUGUAUGGGGGCUGACGCCUGCCCAGUGCCAGAAGGUUAAAGAAGUUGGUUAGCAUUCGCGAAGCUGAUAACUGAAGCCCUGGUGAACGGCGGCCGUAACAAUAACGGUCCUAAGGUAGCGAAAUUCCUUGUCGGGUAAGUUCCGACCCGCACGAAAGGCGUAAUGAUUUGGAUACUGUCUCGGAGAGGGGCUCAGUGAAAUAGACUUGUCUGUGAAGAUGCGGACUACCUGCACCAGGACAGAAAGACCCUAUGAAGCUUUACUGUAACUUGAGAUUGAAAUUGGACUUUACUUGCGCAGUAUAGGUGGGAGGCGUUGAUAAUAUUCUUGCGGGAUUAUUUGAGCCAUCAGUGAGAUACCACUCUUGUAAUGUUAGAUUUCUAACUUUGUAUCAUUAUCUGGUCAAAGGACAGUUUCAGGCGGGCAGUUUGACUGGGGCGGUCGCCUCCUAAACGGUAACGGAGGCGCACAAAGGUUUCCUCUGAACGGGUAGAAAUCGUAUCUAGAGUGUAAAGGCAUAAGGAAGCUUGACUGUGAGACCUACAAGUCGAGCAGGGACGAAAGUCGGUCUUAGUGAUCUGACGGUGCUGAGUGGAAAGGCCGUCACUCAACGGAUAAAAGUUACUCUAGGAUAACAGGCUGAUCUCCCCCAAGAGUUCACAUCGACGGGGAGGUUUGGCACCUCGAUGUCGGCUCAUCGCAUCCUGGGGCGGUAGUACGUCCCAAGGGUUGGGCUGUUCGCCCAUGAAAGCGGUACGCGAGCUGGGUUCAGAACGUCGUGAGACAGUUCGGUCCAUAUCCGGUGUAGGCGUUGGAAUAUUGAGAGGAGCCUUCUUUAGUACGAGAGGACCGAGAAGGACAUACCUCUGGUGUACCAGUUAUCGUGCCAACGGUAAAUGCUGGGUAGCUAUGUAUGGAGUGGAUAACCGCUGAAAGCAUCUAAGUGGGAAGCCCACCUCAAGAUAAG